UAGCUCUACCGUACAUUUUUGAAUAGGCGCAAACUUGAAAACGCGCGAGACGUUGGAAGUGGGAAUUUGUAGAGUGGAAGAAUCAGUAUUUGUGAUCUAUUAUUUGCAUAAUCACAGUGCCGUUUUCGUAUUGCAUAAUUUUAUUUCGAUCGGGUUCAAUAUUCUGUUUAUACUAAUUAUGGUAGCCAUGCGGUUUGCUUGGCGUUUUGGCUGUUAAGUUUGGUGAUGUUGGCCUCCCUAAGGAUUUUUCACCCUCUCACAAGGUGUGUCCAAUAAACAGUACAGUCACUGAUCUUUGUCAACUUUUUAAGAAAAUAACAGAAUAUGAAGAAGAAAGACUAUAUAUAGGAUCGAUCUACUUCAUAACUGGAAAAAGAGAAGCAGUUCACAAAUGUUGAUGAGCAGAAGACAAGAAACUCGGGCUGCACAAAAAUCUGAGCUCUUGAAAAAGAAAGAAAAAAAGAAAUGAAAAUAUGAAUGAUAUUCAAUCAAAGGAUCCAAAUGAUGAAAUUCUGGAAAUUCCACAUGGAGAGACAAUAAGGAUUUUUGAAUUGACCAUCUCUGCUCAAACUGCUUGAAAGCACUGAAAACUGUUACCCUGGUGCUGAACAAACUUUUCUCCUAGACUGGAAUUAAAA